CAGGCCGUUGGAUUUAUCCAGUGGGCGCAGCUAACGCAUUAAGUUAUCCGCCUGGGGGAGUACGGCCGUAAGGCUAAAACUCAAAUGAAUUGACGGGGACCCGCACAAGCGGUGGAGCAUGUGGUUUAAUUCGAUGCAACGCGAAAAACCCUUACCUACAAUUGACAUACUGCGAAUUUUCUAGAGAUAGAUUAGUGCCCUUCGGGAACGCAGAUACAGGUGCUGCAUGGCUGUCGUCAGCUCGUGUCGUGAGAUGUUGGGUUAAGUCCUAUAACGAGCGCAACCCUUACCCUUAUUUGCCAGCGGUUCGGCCGGGAACUAUAAGGGAACUGCCGGUAAUAAGCCGGAGGAAGGUGGGGACGACGUCAAGUCAUCAUGGCCCUUACAUGUAGGGCUACACACGUGCUACAAUGGGAGAUACAAACGGUUGCCAAAGCGCGAGCUGGAGCUAAUCCGAGAAAGUCUCUCGUAGUCCGAAUUGCAGUCUGGAACUCGACUGCAUGAAGCCGGAAUCGCUAGUAAUCGCGGAUCAGCAUGCCGCGGUGAAUACGUUCUCGGGUCUUGUACACACCGCCCGUCACACCAUGGGAGUGCAUUGCACCAGAAGUAGAUAGCUUAACCUUCGGGAUGGCGUUUACCACGGUGUAGUCCAUGACUGGGGUGAAGUCGUAACAAGGUAA
rnacentral:rRNA from 1 species